rnacentral:tRNA from 1 species
UACUUACAAAUAAUAAUUAUUUCCUUUGCAGCUUCAGUGCAACGCUCUUUUAUAAGCUAUAUAAGU